GUUCCUGUAGUUGAAAUUUAGACAACGGCGAGUUUUCAGGUCGCUGGUCUUGGGGUAGUGCCAAGUAGGAACU
rnacentral:tRNA from 1 species